rnacentral:misc_RNA from 1 species
GAAAUGCGAUAAGUAAUGUGAAUUGCAGAAUUCAGUGAUCAUCGAAUCUUUGAACGCACCUUGCGCUCCUUGGUAUUCCUUGGAGCAUGCCUGUUUGAGUAUCAUGAAAUCUUCAAAGUAAAUCUUUUGUUAACUCAAUUGGUUUCUACUUUGGUAUUGGAGGUCUUUGCAGCUUCACACCUGCUCCUCUUUGUUCAUUAGCUGGAUCUCAGUGUUAUGCUUGGUUCCACUCGGCGUGAUAAGUUAUCUAUCGCUGAGGACACUGUAAAAGGUGGCCAAGGUAAAUGCAGAUGAACCGCUUCUAAUAGUCCAUUGACUUGGACAAUACUUUUAUGAUCUGAUCUCAAAUCAGGUAGGACUACCCGCUGAACUUAAGC